AACAACGCCCUUCCUGUCAUUGUGUCUGCUAAAGUGCAUUUACGGUGCCCGCGUAGUGAAACAUAAAAAAAAAAAAAAAAAAAAAAAAGUGAAAAACUCUAUCGCGAUCAAAGAUCAGAACGAUUCAGAGGGUUAUGACGUUACAAUAGUGAAGGAUGAGUGGAUGGAGAUGUUAGAUGCAGAUGAACCAUUUAUUGCACAGAAAUGGGAUUGUGCUGAAGGUCUCAAUCAUGUGUGUGAAGAAAGAGGAUCAAAAUACAAGUGGGCAGUCUCUCAGAUCUUCAAAGAUCCUAACAACAUAUGAUAUAACAUUGGUUUCUCUGGCUCCACUGGAUCUCUGAAUUUCUGGCACAGUCUCCACAUCUUUGAAGCACAUGAUCAGAGUGGUUGUCCGCACAUUGGGUCUGCAUUCAAGUCUACCAUUUAUCUUUCCUUGUACAUCACACUGGCUGUUCCAGCCAUCCUCUGCCAGCCAACAUAAAUACCACAUGGCGUGGGACCAACAGAGCAAAACUAGUGUGAUAACACUGGUUAAAGAUGGAAAAUACUGUCCAUCUGAAGCUGGAGCGAAACACGGGAUGCCAAAGAGGACUGCUAGAUGCUGGUGGAAAGAGUAUUUGGAAACUGGGCGUAUUGGGCAGAAAGUAGGGAGUGGUCAACCCCAUGUGUCAAGUGUGAGAGAUGACCAGCGUCUCUUGGACAGCAUGUGUUCCAAACCAUUUCUCAGUGUUUCUUCUCUGAGAGAGAUUUGCCAUUUUCCUGGUAGUGCAAGAACUGUGGCAAGGAGACUGAAAAACAGUGGACUUUGCAAUCAAAGAGCUGCUGCUCUAAAUCGGCAUUUAACUGCCUCUCAAAAGAUUGACCAUAUGGCUUUUGCAGAAGAAUAUAUGGACUUUUAUUGGAGUAGAGUCAUUGUUUACGGACAAAAAAUUAUUUUCUUCCAUUAACAAUGCCCUGUGCCAGGUGUCGUCUCCACAGGGAGAGUGUUUCAGUUCCACAUUUUUAGUCAAAAAGAAGAGAAACAAAUGCUUUUAUGCUGGUGUUUGGGGUUACAUCUCUGCUCAGGGAGCAGGGCCACUGUGGAGGAUAGAUUAUAUCUUCAACAGAGAGGCUUAUUUUAAUAUUCUGGACUGUAUAUUGAAGCCAAGCCUUGAGAUGCUUUAUCCUGAGGGUGACAUAUAUUUUCUGCAGGAUGACAGCCCCAUUCAUCAGUGCUUAAGGGUCCAAAAUUGGUUCGAAGGCCAACAAAGAAUAAAACUUAUGCCUUUCGUGCCUAGGUCACCUGAUCUCAACCCAAUGGAAAAUAUGUGGGCUGGGUUACAAGGUCACUACCACCUGACUCUAUCAACACUGAAGACCUUUUGACUAAUAUUGAAAAUGUGUGAUGGAAAAUAAAUGAUCUGCCCAUGUUGUCAAGGCAGUUAGCAUUAUCUAUGCCAAGACGCCUUCGGGCAGUCCUACAGAGAAUAGGUGGUUGGAUUUGCUGUUGACAAACAAAAUGAUGGUCGCUGUGUUUAAAGUUUAUGUAGCUACCUACAUAAGCACGCAGUCUCUCUUAUGUCUCGUCGAAUGGUUAGCGCCCGUCGCCGAAGUUCCAUGGGGUUUUAUCCAAAGAAGAGAUCACUGAGGCUUCGCGGUGAAGUGAAACGAAAGCGUUUCACGCUAUUCCACUUUUUAGCUUUAAAGCUGGUACGAGUCACGUCAUGAGAGACGCCGAUAGGCCUGGUUCAAGUGGGUGAAGAAGAAUCAUACCCGCUUGUAAUGACGAGAUGGUUACUUCUUUGCCAAUCUGGUUUCCCAAUACCAGCAUUCUGUCUUAUCUGCUACUAUCCCAAGAUGUUUUUGAAUGGUACAAGUCAAGGAAGCAGCUUCCAAGAAGUGGUAAUAUGAUUUGGGUUUAUAAGUCAGAUGAUUGUGACCUCCAAAAAAAUUGAGACAUGGCAAGGUGAUCGGAGCACACCGAGAUGUCACAUUGCAUUAGCACACAAAGAAGCUGCCAUGUAAAACAGGCAAGGGUUUAUGUAAGGGUGCUUGCACUGGUGCUUGCCAUUCUGAUACUCAUUCGUUGUAUCCAAACUUGGUUGCCACCAUAGAGCAAAUCAGUGAGAAAAUGUCGCAUUGGUCAGGGAAUUGCUGUGAAAGAUGGAAAGGUGAUGAAAAACAGUGCAUAUAUUGAACAGAGAAGACAGUUACACUAAUGUGAGGUGUCUCACAUUAUGGUAAUGGCAGUGAUGACUUUAUCAUAAAAUAUUUGUGUAAGAGAUCAAAUGAGGAUUAUAACUACAAAAGUCACUACUAGCGCACACAAAGAAGAAGGCUUCGGAAAGAUCAACUUAUAAUUCAUUGAGGCUUCAUCCAUGUUCGGUGGUGGACAGUUCCAAGCUGCUGAUGACAACUUCAUUUAUGGACUUGCUUAAAGACCACAUCAAGGAAGAUGCAGCUUUUGCAUAAUAUGUUGAUUGAAAUAAAAUGAUUGACAUGAUUUGUUAUUAAUCUGUUACAUUUAUCAAAUAUAUACCAAUGGUGUGUAUCAUUUCACAAAAUAUUGUCAUUAAACUGAUAAUUUAACUCAA